UACGGAGGGGGCUAGCGUUGUUCGGAUUUACUGGGCGUAAAGCGCACGUAGGCGGCGUAUCAAGUUGGGGGUGAAAGGCCUGGGCUCAACCUAGGAACUGCCUUCAAUACUGAUAUGCUCGAGUCCGGGAGAGGUGAGUGGAAUUCCCAGUGUAGAGGUGAAAUUCGUAGAUAUUGGGAAGAACACCGGUUGCGAAGGCGGCUCACUGGCCCGGUACUGACGCUGAGGUGCGAAAGCGUGGGGAGCGAACAGG
rnacentral:rRNA from 1 species